CUCUUUCUCUGGAGGUUGCUCCUUGGGGAGUUUCUUGUGAGUCUACAACUGUGUCAUCACUAUGAGCUAUGCAUUUUCACCAUCAAUGAACCGGAGCAUGCAUGUUACGCUUGUAAAUAUCUGCACCAGAGGAGGUGACCUGCUGUCGCCACUGCUGAAACACACAACCCACUGCCUCACUGUGCUCGCAUCUCCUGUUUGAUCUUCAUAAAUGUUCAAAUUUCUAUAACAUGGAAAUGCAUAGAUGGCAGCUUCAUCCAUUCCUGAAGGAAGUAUUAUUCUCAUCAGAAAUACAUUGUUCUGUUAACCCAAACUGGAAUCUUCAAGUAAGAAAUAUCUAGCCUUGAUCUUAUAAGCAUUUCAGUAACUCAAAAAAUACACAUUUUAAACAUAUUUACAAUAAUCUUCAUGAUAAUAUUGUAAAUAGUCAUGUAAGUUUAAAAAAAAUAAUAGAAGGUGAAUGCAAGCUGUAAACAUUCAUGUUCCUUAUUCACUAAAAACGUGUAUCAAUCAGCAAAUAAUAAGGUCAAUGAUGUACUGUCCAGAAAAGAUAUGUUUCAAUGCUUUCUUGAUCUGGGGUGCAGUAGUAUAUCUAGGCUUGUUUAAUGAGAAAUUCACUUUUAUUUUUAUUGGUAAAUAGUUUUUACACAGACAUGUUAAUCCUGUAUGUAUAUGUUCUUCUCUUCUUGAUCCAGCUACGUUUAAAAUUAUCUGUAGGUUAUGCCAAGAGAGUCUUUCUGGAAAUAUUUUUACUUGUUCUGGAAGUUUCAGUCUUGUGGACUUACCCUCUCCCACAUAUGGCAUCUGAUCUUCUAGGAAGUUUUGUGGAGUGAGACAGACAAUGUAUACUAGACUGAGUAUAUUAACACAGUGAUACUCAAGGUAAAGCCUGUUUUGUUCAGUUGCAAAGGAGUGUUAGCAGACAGAAACACAAAGAGAUACUCUAAGGUAGCUGCUAUUAUAAUUUUUUUUUUCCUGUGGAGAACUCUUUGGCCUUUCUUUCCUUCAGUUCUAUAUAGUUUAGAAUGUAUAAUACUACUUUCCAGUCUCUAGGGGUUAUAUUAAAGACAAUCUUAUGAAAAAGCUUUUAGAUGCUUUGCGUUACAUGGAGGCUACAUACAUAUAUUAGGGGUGUGUGCAUAUGCAGUUUACAGUACACUCAGUAAAUAUGGCUUUUAUAACUUGAUAGCUUUUCACAUAAUGAAAAGGGGAAAAAAAUGC
rnacentral:lncRNA from 1 species